AGCAAGGUGGUAAAUUUGGGAGCUGGGAUUGCACAAAAGGUGAGUGCUUGAGACUCUCUCUUCCUACUCUUUCUCCUUAUUCUUUGGAUGACCUACCACCUGGAGGCUGGCUUAGAGUUCUAUGAAAUAAUUUCUCUGAAUUGCAUGAACGUGGCACAGGAGUGUUCACACAGAAGGGGGCGCAAAUUGGAGAAGGAUGCAGUUGAAUGGACAUCUUAGAUUUCAUCUUGUUUUGAACACUCCAUGGGGGAUUGCCUAGUUUGAUAGUUAAGUAAGAGAAUUUUUUCAAAGCGGAGUAUGAAGUCUGUGUCAGCACAAGUGACUUGGAUUGGUGACACAGGCAGCCUUCGUGUUUGAAUACCUUACCCUAAAGAAGAGGUCAUUCUCUUUCUCUUUUCAUGGUAGUUUAAUUCAUGAAUCUAACUGAUUCUAUAUUUCUCUUUCCAAACUUCUUUAAGGAUCAGGAACUAAAAUUAUCAAAUGUGAAGCUUUCAGUCUGGAAGUAAAAUGAAAAAGGAUAAAGCAUAAGAAAUUGAGUUGCCAGGAGCACCUUAAACAAGCAAAUCAAAUUUCAAAUAAAUUAAUCUUUACAAUAUCUGACAUUGUGCAUUCAAAAUGAAGAUACAUUCCUAAUCACACUCUCUGAGACCCUGCUGGAGGAACUGAGCUGUGGACCAGAGAUGCUGGAAAGAGAAGAAGAGAAAAGGACAAGAAGGAAAAACCAGAGCAAAAAUGAGAACAAGACAGAGAAGAAUGUGAAGAGAGUGUAAGAGGGUGCUGGGACAACUGGUGGGAGACCGAAAGAGAAAAAAGAAUAAGGCUUAAUAUGGAGGAGUCAGUGACAAGAGAAAAGGCUUACAUCUGAAAAGAAAGAAAGAAAUGCAUUUAGUGGGAAAUAGAAAAGCACCUGGAUUAUUUGCCUCAGUUUCUGCUCACAGAGAUUGUUCCCACCCUUUCCUGCAUCCAGGUGAUCACAAGGAGUGCAGUUUCCCACCAAGACACACAGACUGAGUAUUCACCCAAUGCUCACGUCAUGAUCUCACAGUUCCUGGGAUCAAGCCCUUGCAUUGGGCUUUGUGCUGAUAGCCCGAUUCUCUCUCCCUCUCUCUCUGUCCCUCCCCUGCUUGUGUUCUCUCUUUCUCUCUCUCAAACUAAACAAAUAAACUUAAAAAAAUAAUUUGGAGACUGUUUCCUUCCACAGAUAUUCAAUCAAAUAUUACCACUAACUGGAUUCUUAAAUUAUUCAAUAAACAUAUCUAGUAUUGUUAUAGCUAUAUAUGCCAUACACACACACACACACACACACACACAUACAUAUACAUAUAUAGGAUAUGUACAUAUAUAUAUAUUUAGCAGUUUUUUCCUAUAUAUAUGUAUGUAUAGGAUAUAUACAUAUACAUAUACACAUAUAGGAUAUGUACAUAUAUGUAUAUAUAUGUAUAUAUACAUAUAUAUACACGCAUAUAUAUACAUACACACACACACACACACACACACACACACACAUAUAUAUAUAUUUAGCAGGUUUUUUUCUGUAUAGCAGCACCAGCACAAAUAUUGAUGAGGAGGGAAAAGACUACAAUAAAGCAAAAAGUAUCUGUAAAUUCUCUGUUUUAUUUUCUUUGCAAAGAAGAAGCUAAAGCAGUUGACCCUGACCUGGAAGACAAGGAAGACUUUUCAGCCUAAUUGUUUCAAAGAGCUGGAGGUUUGUGUAAUAAAAUAGUUGGAAGAAAAUACUAAGGGAAUGUCCAAUCUAAGGCUGUAGCAAUUCAAAUGGGAAGGAUGGUCAGUCCUUUGACUGCUGAAAUGUCUAUCCUGUUCCUUUUCUGAUUCCUCGGAAUGAUCCAACCAUUUAAGUGGUCCAUUCAGUCAUAUGAAGAUCUCACUCCACCACAAGUGUCAGAACUCAAGAGUAUUCACUUGAUGAUAUUCCUGUGUAGAAGAAGAAAUGGUAUCGACCCAGAAUUGUGCCAAGGUCUCUGGCAUGUAUGGGCUUUUCUUCAAGGGAACAGAGACUAGUUAGCAGGCCACUGCAGUAAUGUAGAUGAGAGGUGUUUAUGACCUAAACUAGAUGUUAACCGUGGAGUUGGAGUUGGAAAGAAGUGAGUAGAUUCUAGAUAUAUUUUGAAGGUAGAACUAAUAGGAUUCACUAAAGAUAAGAUAUGAGGUGUGUGGAGGAGGCAUCAAGAAUGACUUUAGGGCUUUUUAUUUGAGAAAAAGUGAGGCGGGGCGGGGGGGGCAUUGGCAACCCCUGAGAUGGAGAAGGCUGUGGUGGAACACAUUUCAGGGGGGAGAGUUCAUUUCAAACAUGUUGAGUUUGAGAUGUCGGUUAGAAAUCCAAGUGGAAUUGCUGGGUGGCAGUUGGACUUGUGAGUCUGGAGUUGGUGAGAGAGGUCUGGACUGAAGGUAAAACUUGGAAUAUAUCAGCAUAGCCAUGGCCUUUGGAGCUAUUUAACUGGAGGUGAUCACUAUGGGAGUAUAUGUGAGGAAGAGUUGAGUGAAAAACAAAAAGAUGGUUAUCACUCUAUAGAGAAAACAAUCAGAGAAGGGAUAUAGGGAUUAAUGAGGAGAGUACAAUUUUAAGUAGGGUGAUAUUUGUGAAAUUAGAGAUAAUUCAUUUUUCCAAGAAGAAACUAGGACAAAUUGAGAAGCAAUAAUCAUUAAUAAAAGACAUAAUUCUCCAGAGUAGGAAAAAAAAAAAAAACUAACACAGUUCAUAAAAUGGAAUGGCACACUGUAUUCCAAGCAAAGUGAGUGAAAACAGAUCCAUACCCAUUAAUAUUGUCAGAAAAAUAUUGAAUGUUGAAGAUAAGCCAUCCUAUAGGCAUCCAGAUAGAGAACAUAGGUUAUUUAUUUAAAAAAAAAAAAGAAAAUCUGGCUACUUAGGUCUUUUCCAAAAGAACACAGGCCAAAAGGAUAUUAUAGUCCACGAAGUUCAUAUAACCAACCAAAGUCACAUUUACACGUGUGAACAAGUGUGGAAGACUCAGAAAAUACCAUUUUAUCCUCUUAACAACAACAAAAGGUCAAGUUUACUCUUAGCUUACUGAGAAUGACACAAGAAUGAGAUGAGCAAUGAUACAAGGAAAUACAGCAACCAAAGUCUAAUCAGUUGUUAUAAAAACAAGAAGAGUAAGUGUGAAACUAAACAAAAUCUUUUUUUAAAAAAAAAUUUUAAUGUUUUAUUUAUAUUUGAGACAGAGAGAGGCAGAGCAUGGGCAGGGGAGGGGCAGAGAGAGAGGGAGACAUAGAAUCCGAAGCAGGCUCCAAGCUCUGAGCUGUCAACACAGAACUCGACACGGGGCUUGAACUCACAAACUGUGAGAUCGUGACCUAAGCUGAAGUCGGAUGCCCAAUCAACUGAGCCACCCAGGCGCCCCUCUAAACAAAAACUUAUUAAAAAAAAUUUAUUUUGAUAUUCAUUUAUUUUAGAGGUAGACAGAGCACAAGCAGGGGAAGGGCAGAGAGAGAGGGAGACACACUCUGAAGCAGGCCAGGCUCUGAGCUGUCAGCACAGAGACUGACGUCGGCCUCGAACCCACCACCCAUGAAUCAUGACUUGAGCUGAAGUAGGGGACUUAACUGACUGAGACACCCAGGCACCCCUAAGCAAAAAAUUCUUGAAGGAGAACAUCUUAUAAAAAUAUUCAUGUAUUAAUAAAUAACACUUCCAGAGGAAGAUUUAAGGUAGAUAACAUGAAUAGAAAAAAGCCAGAAGGAAGACAUACAUUAAACAUAAGGAAGAUACAUGAAUAAAAAAAAAAAGAAACUGUAUAAAGUAAAACUCAAGUUAGCAGAAGAAUGUCCUAUGUAUUUUUUGAGGACUUGCAGCUUAUAUUUCAGAUGCCAGGGAUUCUAGUAAACUGGUUGUCUUUCUUGUUCUAUAUAUUUUUUAAUUAUCAGAAACUUGGCUCUAAGAAGUCUAGUAUACAACAUGAAUAGGUAUCACAAACAAUUUGUAACAUCUAUAGGGUCUGUGAAGGAAAUACGCACACACACACACACACACACACACACACACACACACGGAAUCCAGAAGUCCGACUAUUUCCGAUACUGUGACUUGCCUGAAAGAAUUUUUUUAACUUAAUUGGGAAAGGAAGCCUUAAGGUUAAUAAAAGACAGUAUUCAUGACAAUAUAUAUAAAAUAUCCAAUAAAUUUCACAGGCUGUUCCUUUUUUAAAAAUAAUGUUAUUUAAUAUAGGUUUGUGAUAUGGUGGCAAAAAUGAUUUACUAAUUUGCUAAUUUCUUUCUGAUUAUGGGGUCUAAUCCUGUCACAGAAUUUUUAAAAAUGUGCUUUAAGUUUAUUUAUUUAUUUUUAGAGACAAAGAGCAUGAGCAGGGGAGAGGCAGAGAGAGAGGGAGAAAGAGAGGGAGAGAGAGAGAAAAUACCAAACAGGUUCUGAUUGCCAGUGCAGCGCCCAAUGCAGGGCUUGAACUCAAGAGCAUUGAGAUCGUGACCUGAGCCAAAACCAAGAGUCGGACUUUUAACCGACUAAGCCACCCAGGAGCGCCUAAUUCUAACAGAGAUAUUUGAGUAUCUUGAAUAAUAUACUUCUGGCUAUCUUCAGUAAAUGUUGUCUUUCUUAGCAGAGAUAUUGAAAGUUAUUGAGAGGUGAUUUUGAGAUUAUGCUCCCUGAAAUUUGAUAGUAAAAUGCAUUAGUCUAGGUUGGGAAAACCCUUGAGUCCAGCAGUAUCUGAAAUGGAAGACAUGCUGAAUUUGAAUGCUCUGUUGCCCCUAUUUGGAGGCAAGGGUAUAACAAUUAACAGUUACCAUCUUCUAUAGUUGGGUACUUUUAGCCCAAAUGUGCAUUGUCAAAGAGAAAGUCACAACAAAAGACAGAUAAACUAAAAGUCUGCUAAAUUUCUUAUAAUAUAAAAAUUUGAAUUUAGAUACAUUUUAAUUGUUUUUUGAAAAAUUUUAUUGCAUUCAAAUUUAUAUUGUUUAUACUGUCAUAGAAUGACACUAGCUUUCAGCUGUGUAUUAUACAGCAUAGAAGCUGAUUUUCCUCUUUCACAUUUCAUGCUUUCUUUCAUUUUGUAGAGCUAGACUGUUUUUUCCCUUCUGAGACAUCACAAUGGUACCUUGUGAGGUGAUGUCAGGGUAUGAGGAGCUGAGGUGUGUUACAUACUGGGGUAGGGAAAAGGCAUAGUGUGUAGUUCUCCCUCUCUUAUAUCAGCUUGUUCAGAAGAAUUGCAAUGUAGUCCUUGCGUAUUUGUACUCUGGCCUUAGGCUUAAAAACCUAUGUAGUGUGAGAUCAUUCUGCCCCUUAACGGUCCACAAUAUUAAUGAGACCCUGUUAUAUGUCAGGCACUGUCCUAGGUACCUGGGAGGAAGAGACACAUUAAGUAAGAUAUGGCACUAUAAUAAAGAGAUAAAAAAAUAUAGUGGAUUAAACAACAGAGUUUAUUUAUCUUAUGAGAAAUUUGGAUAGAUGUUACAGUCUUGGCUCGCUGGCUGAACCAUGGUGGAGAUUUAAUGUCUUAUUCUUUUGUCCUCAAAAUAGGACUUCCAUUUCAUGGACCAAAUGGCCACCCCAAACUCAUUUCAAUUUUGCAUUCUAGCCAUUGGGAAGGGAGAAAAGCCAAGGGAAGACAUGUCCCUCUUUUAGGGGCCCUAUCUAGAAAUUACAUGUGGCUAGUGCUCAUAUCCCAUUACUAGAUUCUAGUCACAUAGCCACGACUAUCUACAAGGGAGGCUGUGAAAGGUAGUCAUUAGCUGGAUAGCCAUGUGAAGCAUAACCUUUACAGGCUAUAUUGUUAAAGGAAGAAAGAGAGAAUGGAUAUUGUUAGGUAACUAGCAGGCUAUUUACCAAGUAGUGAACAAAAUGAUCAUGAACUUUGGCUUCAAGUUGGCUUUUAGCUUAGAAUUACUCCUUUAGACCUAGUCAUAGUGUGCAUGCUGGGUAUAUAGCCCUUUCACUCCACCUGCCAACACUCCUCCUCCCAGAAGCCUCAACCUAAGGGCAUUUAGGUAUAGGUUACUAUGGAACUUACAAUAUAUUAACUACCUUUCUUCUAUUAUAUCCCAACAACUACUGUUUCUACAUAUUCCAUCCAGUGUCUACACAAGCUGGUUAAGUGUAUGUCUCUCAUUCUACUAUGAUCUCAUUUUAGACAAGAUACCUUAACUGAAUGAAAAAAAAUUAUGUUGAGAACAAAGCCAAGUACAAGUAAAUAUCCAAUAAAUAAUUUGAUAGAUUUUUGUUAAAUUGGUAGUGAAAGUUAGCACAGGAACUGGGUACUGAACGGAGCAAGAAAACUCAAUUCGAUCCAGCCCAAUUUAAAUGUAAACUGAGCCUACAUUAUUGCUACUUUUCACUCUCUCCUCACUAUGACAUUUAUGUGCUUGUUUAGUUUAGGGCUACACAGAAGAAUGACCAUGAACAUUGACUUAGGAAAGGGGAGUCAGGAAAUUGUUCACCUUCUUGAUCAUUUUGUCAACUUCUUUCUCCCAAGGGAGAUAUUUAUGUAGCCCACUAACUUCACUAGACUGAAUAAAAUAUAUCUUGGUGUUUUAUUUCUCUAUAAUUUCUGUAGAAAACAUUUGCAUACAUGUUCACAGAAGGAGAGAAUCUAGAAAAGAAACUUAAUUUUCUAUGCUACUAUAUAAAAUUUAGUCAGUGAAUCCAACAGAAUGAUGGCAUGGACAAGAGAAAAAAAAACUGUGGGGAGAAAGAGAAGAGAAGGGAAGCAAGAGAGAUCUAUAAUGAUUUUGUUUAAUUUUUUCUUUGUCAUACAUAGCCACUUACCUUUGUGGCAAUGAGGGAUGAAUAACUAGAACUGUAAUACAGAGUAAUACAUUGAGAGCCAAUUACUAAUGAUAUAGGAACUCUAAAAAGCAACACAACUAACUUGUAGCAAAUCAGCCAGAGUUUGAAGGAAAAGCAGAUUUAUAAAAUAGUAUCGUCUAAAGAACAUCCACAAAAUCAGAGACAUAAUAAUGGCCUUAAACUUUAAACUGAUGAAGAAAGUAUUAUAAAUUGUAUCUUCUGACAUGGAAAUUCUCCCAAUGGUUGGAAUUUUAUUUCAACAGAACCUCUGUUUCUGAAUUAAAUGUCAUAAAUCUGAGAAUUGUAUUCACUUUUGCCACUUGAUCCGUUCGGUAGUAAAUUUGUGGUCAGCCUCCAUGAAGUUUCCAGCCACCCUCAAAUUCAUAGUUCAGGUUAGUCUGAGUAGUACCCUUUCCUUUUAAAAGAUUCUUCUUUGGGACUUGUCCACACUGUCCUAUUGCAGCUAGGACUCAGCAUUUCUGACCUUGGUAAUGCUCUUGACAUUGUUUUGGGUUUCUUGGCUAUUACAUCAUAAGUUGGCAAAUUAUAUUUUAUACCAGAAUUGUAGAGAUACAAACCAGCCUUAAUUUCAACCCAGAAGUCGGGUUUUUCUUUUGUGGAGAUGAUGAAAUAAGUACCUUUAUGAGCAAAUUUUCUCUGUUUUAAGGUUAAAAUCUCACACUUAAGAAGAUCCUCUCAAUUUAAUUUUAGUUUUGCUGGGGAGCAAGAAAAUGAAGUGAACAAAAAGAGAAAAACCUGAAAGUAACUCUGUCCAGUAGGACAAGUGUAGUGAUACCUAGUUUGACUAGUGGGACAGACCUGCCAAAACACGGGAUAGAUGUAUCUCAUGCUUAUAUAUUAUGCUUAUAUCUAUGCUUAUAUCUAAUGCACUUCCCUUUUUGCUGUUCCAAACAUCAUAAAGAUGAUAAAUAUAUAUAGGAUACUUUAGCUGAUGGUAUACCUUAUGGUUAAUUAUGAAUCAGUUUGUAAUGAAAUGAAUCGUGUGAAGGAAAUAUCAAGGAUUAUGUGAUCUCGAGGUGGUAGCCCUUUUGUGAUAGGAUCAGGCAGUUGGAAGCUAUACCUUUAUGUGACAUACACCCACGGAUGUAUUUCUGAAGCAUUUAAGAAAACAGCCCAGGUUAGAUGGAAGAAGCUAUUUCUAUCACACUCUAUGAACACAAAACAAUAAUAACAUAGAAAAUGAGUGUAAAGGAAUAAAAUACAAAUUGCAUGGAAUAGAAAUUAUCCCACUAGCAACAAAUACGCCAUUUGAAAGAUGGUAUAAAUUGAAACCAUUAGGAACUGAUAGUAAUUCUUAAUUCUUCAGUCUAUGCUGUAACCAGCUGGACACACAAUGAAUGCUGGGUCACCUUUGCAAGGAGUAUAUGCUAUUCUUCAGCUAAUUGACAGAGGCAUAGAGCUAUAUAAUGGCAACGUUUGUCACCAUUACCUCCAGAGAAGGAGACAACUGGGUCAAAAUCUGGCUCCACCGCUGUCUAAGCUUGGACAGGAUAUUUCAUUUAAUUUGAACUUAAUUUUUUUAUUUGUAAAGCAUAUAUUAAUAUUCAUCAUAGUAUUUUGUAAGGAUUGGAUGGCAUAGUAUAUGUAGCCAGCCAGUGCAUAGUAGUUGUUCAAUAAAUUAAUUGCUGCCCCUACUGGCUUGUGGUUCCUCACUCAGUACUGUCUGCAGUGGGGUGGGGGAGCACUAAGUCAGGUGAGGAGUCUACAGGAGUGCCUGUGAAAACUGAGGCCAAACACUAGCUAAACAAAUAAAAUGGGAUUUAUCGUUCAUUAUUUUUCAAUUUGCCCUUUGUGUUUCUUUUGAGUAGUGGUGAAGAUCAUGGAGUUGGGGAAGAGUAAGUAAACACUGUUGUUUUGGUGAUCUUUUCUCCUUAGCGUUCACCCAAAUUUUCAUAGUCUUGAUGACUGAUUAGGUUUUGACAAUUAACUGUGAACAAAGAAGAAUUGUAAAUAUGGUGUAACAUGCAUGAACCAACGAACGGUGUUUUAUUUUGUUCGAAUUAGCUCUCUAGGGGCUAAUAUGACCAUAUUCUAGGUAUUAAUUUAGCUUAUGUGGCUCCCACUGAAACUGUUUUGGUUUCUAUGGAGACUUUUGCUCUGGUUUACUGGUAUAUAACUAUUUCCUCACCUUUUCAUUUCCUGAAAUAGCACCAAGUACAGUAUCUAAAUUUUGACUAAUAUAAAUCAAAGCACAUGCUUUCCUUUCAGUAAAGUCCUCUAUUUCAACAUGUGUGCAGGAUUUUCCUUUUUAAUGCAUUAGACAUCUGUUAUUUCUAAUGGGGAUAAAAUGUCACAUGUUAAAAACAAUAAAAGUUAUUAAAAGCAGUGCAAGUUUGAAAUAUUUUGAAAUUACUUGUUAGAAAUGUACUUUUUUUCUUUUAGUGUAUGGCAGUUUUCAAACGUGAAUACGAAAAGUCCAUGAAAAUGAAUAUGCAUAUGAAUACGUAAAGUUUUGGGGAUCACACUCACUUGGUUCUAAUAUUAAUCCUUUUAAAAAAUGAAGUAAACAUCAAAUGUCAAUACAAUAUGAGCCUUCACACACACAUGCACACACACUCAUAUAUGCGUUGUAAUUCCCAUGGGGCUAAAUAGGAAGCAAAAUUUGGUACUAAUUGUUUAAAAACCAGGAAUAUCAUUAGAAAUAAGUAUAGUUUACUGUAGUUAUUUUCAUUAGGAGUGCGUUUGUGUGUAUGUGUGUGAAUUGCGGGUGAACUCAGCUGUUUUUGAGAAGGCUCACAACACUGUUAAAAUUUCCAUUUGCAUUUUCCAUUUCAGUGUCAAUAAAAUUGAAGUGCAUAUUUGUGAAGUACUUUUCCUUUUAGUUGUUAACUCUGUGUAUUUAAAGGUAAAUUUAAUCCCUAUCUUUCUAAUUAAUUUCAACUUCUCUUGCAUGUUGAGGGUCAAUGUCAGAAUACUUGUUUUAUUGAAUACAGAUUUAUAAUAGAAAAGCCCUCUUUUCCCAAAACCCAAUGAUUGCAUUUAUAUAAAACAAAACAAUAACUGGGAAGCGAUUCAAGGCUGUUAGAGAUCAGGUUACUGGAUAUCCUUGUAGGGAGAGAAGAGUAGUAAGUGGAGGGAAGCAUAAGAGGGGCCUCUCAUAUGCUGAUAACGUUAUGCUCUGUGGUAUCCAAAGAAAAAUAUUACAGAAUAUCAUGUCUAAGUAUGUUAAAUAUCUAGUUUUAAAUGUUUUAGUGCUAAGAAGGCAAUAAUUCUCACUUAAGUAACACCGUCCUGACAUACAACUAGCAGAACUCACAAAUUUUACUGUGUGGCUAUUUUUAACAUAAAAUGAUUUCAUUAUUUUUAUUUUUUUGUUUUGAUGACAUUUAAUAGUUCUCUUAAGAACUUUCAAUCCUGUAAUACAGUAUUGUUAACUAUAGUUGUCAUGCUGUAUAUUAGACCCUCAGAACUUAUAACUGGAAGUUUGUACCCUUUGACCAACAUCUCCCCAUUUCCUCUGCUCUGCAACUCCUGGCAGUCACCAUUCUACUCUAUUUCUAUGAUUUUGGCAUUUUUAGAUUCCACAUAUAAGUAAGGACAUACAGUAUUUGUCUUUCUAUGACUUAUUUCACUUAGCAUCAUGUCCUCAAAAUCCAUCACUUUGUUGCAAGACAGAAUUUCCUUCUUUUUUGUGACUGAAUAGUAUUUCAUUGUAUGAAUAUCCCACAGUUUCUUUAUCCACUCAUUUGUCAGUGGACACUAGGUUGUUUCCAUGUCUUGGUUAUUGUGAAUAAUGCUGCAGUGAACACGAAGGGUGCAGAUAUCUCUUCCAGAUAGUGGUUUCAUUUCCUUCAGAUAGAUACCCAGAAGUGGGA